rfam:Picea glauca, whole genome shotgun sequence.
UUGUAUUCACUUUGAAUUAUAAUAAACUCAUCACGAUGAAGAACGUAGCGAAAUGCGAUACUUAGUGUGAAUUGCAGAAUCUCGUGAAUUGUCGAGUUUUUGAACGCAAUUUGCGCUCGAGGCCUCGGUCGAGGGCACGUCUGUCUGGGUGUCA